AGCCGGCGCGUCAGCUCCAGCACCAGCCCGGACGGGCAGGCCUUCGCUUGACGCAGACCGGAAAUCGCUGCUCAUACGAUCGGAGAGGCAUUCCACGUGCACGAGACCACGCUCCGGACACUAAUGUUCGCUAUCUUGCUGUCAAUGACAACGCGAAAGAACACGAUCUGCGUGUCGCCACCGGCAACACGACAAACGGCGUAUAAGAGCAGUGAUUCGUACAAGGGACCUCCCGAAAUCUGCGGGACAAAAGCUCCGCAGAUCUAAGCACUAGGCACCGCAUCCGUGAGAGCCAGCAAAAAUACUAGUGAUAGCCACACGRAAUUCAACCGCGCGCCAACACAAGAAUUUUGCCAACAUUUCGGCUGCCCAAACGACAGAAAAAUGUCAGAUGGGCAAGCAAAUAUCCAUCAAGGGACGACUUCGCUACCCACAAGAGGGUAGAACCGCACAGGCAACCGAUCGGAAGCAUCCCAACCACGACACGUUCAAUGACGGGAGGGAGAGUGAAGAGACAGCCCCAUGUUCGGUUGGCCGCACCAAAAGUGC
rnacentral:misc_RNA from 1 species